rnacentral:rRNA from 1 species
AACGAACGCUGGCGGCAGGCCUAACACAUGCAAGUCGAGCGGCAGCGGGAAAGUAGCUUGCUACUUUUGCCGGCGAGCGGCGGACGGGUGAGUAAUGCCUGGGAAAUUGCCCAGUCGAGGGGGAUAACAGUUGGAAACGACUGCUAAUACCGCAUACGCCCUACGGGGGAAAGCAGGGGACCUUCGGGCCUUGCGCGAGUGGAUAUGGCCAGGUGGGAUUAGCUAGUUGGUGAGGUAAUGGCUCACCAAGGCGACGAUCCCUAGCUGGUCUGAGAGGAUGAUCAGCCACACUGGAACUGAGACACGGUCCAGACUCCUACGGGAGGCAGCAGUGGGGAAUAUUGCACAAUGGGGGAAACCCUGAUGCAGCCAUGCCGCGUGUGUGAAGAAGGCCUUCGGGUUGUAAAGCACUUUCAGCGAGGAGGAAAGGUCAGUAGCUAAUAUCUGCUGACUGUGACGUUACUCGCAGAAGAAGCACCGGCUAACUCCGUGCCAGCAGCCGCGGUAAUAC